CAUCUUCACCAUUCUUCAUUCUAUAGAAGAAUCACCAAAAAAAUCUCUCUGCUCCUCUCAUCCUCAUUCUCCAAUUUCUGGAAAAAACACCAAAAGGUCUUUCUUCUUUCUCUCUGCCUCGUCUUCCUGCAUUCACGCUCCAUCAUUCAUCACCACCUUCUUCUUCCACUACUGCACCACCGUCCUUCAACUCCUGUAGAAUCGCUUCAUCCUCCUCAAACCUUCAUCAUAUUUGCACCAACCUUCAAUCUUCAUCUUCAGCGACUCCAACCUUCUGCAAGAAGCAGUUUCAGUAUCAACGGAAUCCGCAAGAAUAAACGGAAACAGCGUCAUGGUUUCGAUCAACACCGCAAUGAUAAUAACAGAUUUGCACAUCCAAAGAAGCACAGAGAAAUAGAGAAGAGGCGAUAA